GCUUUCCUGUGGCUCAGUUGGUAGAACAUUGCGCUAACAACGCAAAGGUUGUGGGUUCAAUCCCAGGGAAAGCA
rnacentral:tRNA from 1 species